CCAGCACUUCCGUGAUCUCGGGCGUCACGGCCCUUCCCAGCCCACCCCUGAGCCGGUGAGCCUGCGUCCUGGACUGACCGGCCUGCAUGGUGACCCCAUCUACCUGCGCAGCGUGCUCGGCCACCUCAAGGUCGCCUAAGUGUUAGGUUCCAGGCAGGGCUCCCGAUGCUGGGCGGGAGGAUAACCGGGCACUUUUCCGUCCCGCUCCAAGUUUCGGAGCCGUGCCGGCCUCUGCCGAGUACCCGCCGCGUGGGGCCGGGCCCCAGCUCCCACAUCCCUUCUUUCUCUCAGGGUCUCCGGAACCCUCCUGCCUUUGCUGGGACUCCGCACGGGCUGGACCUGCCUGCCCCCUUCCCCAAGACUCAGGCUUCUCUGGAUAGUUGCUUUGCUCUGUGGUGGACACGGCAUGCUCCAGCUCUGAUGCCCAGCAACAAAACUCCACAGCCAGAGAAGCCAUGCGCACCCAGCUGCAAUAAGCAUAGACUGUUUUAUCUCUUUCCCGGAUGAAAGACUUGUUCUGCUGAUGCCUGGAGAGUUGUUUUGAAGGACUCUAAGGAAGGACAAAUGAAGCAGAUUAUCCCUC
rnacentral:lncRNA from 1 species